CCUACGGGAGGCAGCAGUGGGGAAUAUUGCACAAUGGGCGGAAGCCUGAUGCAGCGACGCCGCGUGAGGGAUGAAGGCCUUCGGGUUGUAAACCUCUUUCAGCAGGGACGAAGCGUGAGUGACGGUACCUGCAGAAGAAGCACCGGCUAACUACGUGCCAGCAGCCGCGGUAAUACGUAGGGUGCGAGCGUUGUCCGGAAUUACUGGGCGUAAAGAGUUCGUAGGCGGUUUGUCGCGUCGUUUGUGAAAACCCGGCGCUCAACUUCGGGCUUGCAGGCGAUACGGGCAGACUUGAGUGUUUCAGGGGAGACUGGAAUUCCUGGUGUAGCGGUGAAAUGCGCAGAUAUCAGGAGGAACACCGGUGGCGAAGGCGGGUCUCUGGGAAACAACUGACGCUGAGGAACGAAAGCGUGGGUAGCAAACAGGAUUAGAUACCCUGGUAGUCCACGCCGUAAACGGUGGGCGCUAGGUGUGGGUUCCUUCCACGGGAUCUGUGCCGUAGCUAACGCAUUAAGCGCCCCGCCUGGGGAGUACGGCCGCAAGGCUAAAACUCAAAGGAA
rnacentral:rRNA from 1 species